UACGUAGGGUGCAAGCGUUGUCCGGAAUUAUUGGGCGUAAAGAGCUCGUAGGUGGUUUGUCGCGUUGUUCGUGAAAACUCACAGCUUAACUGUGGGCGUGCGGGCGAUACGGGCAGACUGGAGUACUGCAGGGGAGACUGGAAUUCCUGGUGUAGUGGUGAAAUGCGCAGAUAUCAGGAGGAACACCGGUGGCGAAGGCGGGUCUCUGGGCCGAUACUGACGCUGAGGAGCGAAAGCGUGGGGAGCGAACAGG
rnacentral:rRNA from 1 species